AUUACCGGAUAUAGUUCCCCUGUACUAUAUGCUAGGACCUUAUUGUUUAGCUACUCUGCAUGUAACAGUGUAUAUCUGUUAAUCCCAAACUGCUAAUUCAUCCUUCCUUCACCCCCUUUCCCAUUUGGUAACCAUAUAUUUGUCCUCUAUGUCUGUGAAUCUCUUUCUGUUUGUGAAUAAGUUCAUUUGUGUAUUUUAUCUUUGAAAGUAUCUAUUUGGCUGCACUGGAUCAGGUUCUUUAGUUGCAGUUUGUGAACCCUUCGUUGGGGCAUGUGGGAUCGAAUUCCCUGGCCAGAGACUGAACCUGGACCCCCAGCCGUGGGAGCCCAGAGCCUUGCCACUGGACCACCAGGGAAGCCCCUACGUGUGUCAUAGCUUAGACUCCGCAUAUAGGUGGUAUCAGAGCAACCGAAUGAGGUUUUACAGGUGAGGACACUGAGCUAUAAAAGGUGAAGUCAUUUGCCUAAGGUCNNNNNNNGGAGGAAGGCAGGGUUAGGGUUCAAACGUUCUCAGGUGCACCCCCAUUCUCCCUUCCCAAACCUCCUGAGAUGGGAAAAUUCGACUGGUGUUGAAAAGAACCCACUUCAGGCUAGAACAUGUUUCUGGCACUUUUAUCGUUCCCUCUCUACUGAAGACUUUUAUCUGUCUGUCUAGGAACGUGGGUCACAGUCAUGACCGCCACCCACUUCCCAGAUCUCUGUGAACCUGCUGGGCCAUGCAGCCCAUUUCACAGAUUUGUGUCUUUGAUUGGACGCCUGAAGCUGCUUAAAGCCUGCGGCACCGGAAAAAAAAAAAAAAAAGUGUGGUCAUUACUAUCAGCCACGGCAAAGAAAUCCUCUUCCAGUUUGGAUUUUAAACUGACUUUUUCCAAAUAACAACAUCCUGUUUUUAAAUUAAUUGCAUGCUGCUGUUUACAUUGUAAAGGACCACAUGUGAAUUCAGAACAAUUUUGGGUUUAUUAAAAAGAAAGGAGAAGAUGCAGCCCCCAAAUGUGUGAGGCAGAAUCGGACUAUGAGUAUGA
rnacentral:lncRNA from 1 species